rnacentral:misc_RNA from 1 species
UUAAGUUCAGCGGGUAUUCCUACCUGAUCUGAGGUCGACCUUGUAAAAGUUGGGGGGUUUUACGGCGGGCCGCACCGCUCUCCGCCUGCGAGGUGGUUUUAGUACUACGCAGGGGAGGCUACAGCGUGGUCGCCACUGAAUUUAGGGGCCGGCCUCCCACUGAAGGGUGUGGCCGAUCCCCAACACCGCCCCCGACAGAA